AUUGAACGCUGGCGGCAGGCCUAACACAUGCAAGUCGAACGGUAACAGCAAACCGCUUGCUGUUUCGCUGACGAGUGGCGGACGGGUGAGUCAUGUCUGGGAAACUGCCUGAUGGAGGGGGAUAACUACUGGAAACGGUAGCUAAUACCGCAUAACGUCGCAAGAUCAAAGAGGGCGCCCUUCGGGCCUCUUGCCAUCGGAUGUGCCCAGAUGGGAGCAGCUAGUAGGGGGUGUAACGGCUCACCUAGGCGCCGAUCCCUAGCUGGUCUGAGAGGAUGACCAGCCACCUGGGAACAGAGGCACGGUCCCCACUCCUGCAGGAGGACACAGUGGGGAAUAUUGCACAAUGGGGGCAAGCCUGAUGCUGCAAUGCCGCGUGUAUGAAGAAGGCGUUCGGGUUGUAAAGUACUUUCGGCGGGGAGGAAGGGAAUAAAGUUAAUACCGUUGCUUAUUGACGGUACCCGCAGAAGAAGCACCGGCUAACUCCGUG
rnacentral:rRNA from 1 species